UACGUAGGCAGCAAGCGUUGUUCGGAGUUACUGGGCGUAAAGGGUGCGUAGGCGGCUUUUUAAGUUUGGUGUGAAAUCUCCCGGCUCAACUGGGAGGGUGCGCCGAAUACUGAGAGGCUAGAGUGUGGGAGAGGAAAGUGGAAUUCCGUGGUGUAGCGGUGAAAUGCGUAGAUAUCAGGAGGAACACCUGUGGUGUAGACAGCUUACUGGACCACUUCUGACGCUGAGACACGAAAGCGUGGGUAGCAAACAGG
rnacentral:rRNA from 1 species